rnacentral:misc_RNA from 1 species
CUGAAUUGUCAAACAUGGGUUGUUGCUGGUUCUCAAACGGGGACACGUGCACGCUCUGUUUACACAUCCACUCACACCUGUGCACCCUCUGCAGUUCUACGGUCUGGGGGACGCCGUCUUCCUUCUGUGGUUCUGCGCCUUUACACACACGCUGUAAUGAAGUUUCAUGGAAUGUGCGCCGCGUUUAACGCAAUACAAUA